UACGGAGGGUGCAAGCGUUGUCCGGAUUUAUUGGGUUUAAAGGGUGCGUAGGCGGAUAUUUAAGUCAGUGGUGAAAGCCCACAGCUCAACUGUGGAACUGCCAUUGAUACUGGAUAUCUUGAUUACCGUAUAGGUAGGCGGAAUUUAUGGUGUAGCGGUGAAAUGCAUAGAUACCAUAAAGAACACCGAUAGCGAAGGCAGCUUACUGGACGGUUAAUGACGCUGAUGCACGAAAGCGUGGGUAGCGAACGGG
rnacentral:rRNA from 1 species